rnacentral:miRNA from 1 species
UUUUUCAGUCAUUUUGCAUUACAAUCUAACAUUUUGCAUCAGUUUGAUCAUCUGAUGCAAAAUGUUAGAUUGUAAUACCAAAUGACUGAAAAACGGCAAACUU